rnacentral:rRNA from 1 species
AGCGAACGCUGACGGCAGGCUUAACACAUGCAAGUCGAACGGGCAUCUUCGGAUGUCAGCGGCAGACGGGUGAGUAACACGUGGGAACGUACCCUUCGGUUCGGAACAACUCUGGGAAACUGGAGCUAAUACCGGAUACGCCCUUAUGGGGAAAGGUUUACUGCCGAAGGAUCGGCCCGCGUCUGAUUAGCUAGUUGGUGGGGUAACGGCCUACCAAGGCGACGAUCAGUAGCUGGUCUGAGAGGAUGAUCAGCCACACUGGGACUGAGACACGGCCCAGACUCCUACGGGAGGCAGCAGUGGGGAAUAUUGGACAAUGGGCGCAAGCCUGAUCCAGCCAUGCCGCGUGAGUGAUGAAGGCCUUAGGGUUGUAAAGCUCUUUUGUCCGGGACGAUAAUGACGGUACCGGAAGAAUAAGCCCCGGCUAACUUCGUG